rnacentral:misc_RNA from 1 species
UACUCUAGGCGGGGUCCCGGAA